rnacentral:snRNA from 2 species
CAGUUCGACUUAUACUAAUACCUCAGCAGUGAAACGAUACAGAGAAGAUUAGCAUGGCCCCUGCACUAAGGAUGACACGCUCAAUCAAAGAGAAGCUACCAAUUUUU